GACGAACGCUGGCGGCGUGCCUAAUACAUGCAAGUUGAGCGCUGAAGGUUGGUACUUGUACCUACUGGAUGAGCAGCGAACGGGUGAGUAACGCGUGGGGAAUCUGCCUUUGAGCGGGGGACAACAUUUGGAAACGAAUGCUAAUACCGCAUAAAAACUUUAAACACAAGUUUUAAGUUUGAAAGAUGCAAUUGCAUCACUCAAAGAUGAUCCCGCGUUGUAUUAGCUAGUUGGUGAGGUAAAGGCUCAACAAGGCGAUGAUACAUAGCCGACCUGAGAGGGUGAACGGCCAAAAUGGGACCGGGACACGGGCCAAACUCCCACGGGGGGCAGCAGUAGGGAAACUUCGGGAAUGGACGAAAGGCUGACCGGGGAACGCCGCGUGAGUGGAGAAGGGUUUCGGAUCGUAAAACUCUGCUGGUAGGGAAGAAAGAUAGUGAGAGUGGAAAGCUCAUCAAUUGACGGUAACUACCCAGAAAGGGACGGCUAACUACGUG
rnacentral:rRNA from 1 species